UGCAUGUCUAAGUAUAAAUAGUAUACAGUGAAACUGCGAAUGGCUCAUUAAAACAGUUAUAGUUUAUUUGAUAAUGGAAAGCUACAUGGAUAACCGUGGUAAUUCUAGAGCUAAUACAUGCUGUCAAGCCCAACUUCUCGGAAGGGCUGUAUUUAUUAGAUAUCAAGCCAAUAUUCCUUCGGGUCUAUUGUGGUGAAUCAUAGUAACUGAUCGAAUCCUCAUUUGGAUAAAUCAUUCAAGUUUCUGCCCUAUCAGCUUUCGAUGGUAGUGUAUUGGACUACCAUGGCAUUAACGGGUACGGAGAAUUAGGGUUCGGUUCCGGAGAGGGAGCCUGAGAAACGGCUACCACAUCUAAGGAAGGCAGCAGUGGUGAAAAUUACCCAAUCCUGAUUCAGGGAGGUAGUGACAAGAAAUAGAAAUCUGGGCCACUUUCGUGGUUACGGAAUUUAAAUGAGAACAAUUUAAAAGACUUAUCGAGGAACAAUUGGAGGGCAAGUCUGGUGCCAGCAGCCGCGGUAAUUCCAGCUCCAAUAGCGUAUAUUAAAGUUGUUGCAGUUAAAAAGCUCGUAGUUGAACUUCUGUACAGUCUCAUUUCUGGCUUAGGUCAAGAUGUUGGCUGUGCAUCCGCUUGCAAAGCUGGUUCGGCCUUAACUGGUCGGCUAGUAGAGUAAGCCCUUUACUUUGAAAAAAUUAGAGUGUUUCAGGCAGGCAAUGGCUCGAAUACAUUAGCAUGGAAUAAUGGA
rnacentral:rRNA from 1 species